UACGGAGGGGGCUAGCGUUGUUCGGAAUUACUGGGCGUAAAGCGCACGUAGGCGGCUUUUGUAAGUUAGAGGUGAAAGCCCGGAGCUCAACUCCGGAACUGCCUUUAAGACUGCAUCGCUAGAACGUUGGAGAGGUGAGUGGAAUUCCGAGUGUAGAGGUGAAAUUCGUAGAUAUUCGGAAGAACACCAGUGGCGAAGGCGACUCACUGGACAACUGUUGACGCUGAGGUGCGAAAGCGUGGGGAGCAAACAGG
rnacentral:rRNA from 1 species